CUUCCGGUUACUGACUCUGUGGCUGCUGCCUCCCACAACGCUGUGCUUGCAGACCCCAGGAGCGCUGGCUGUCCCUUCACUUCCUGAACAUGUGGAUGUGUGCUUUGGGUUCUUGACCUCAGCUCUUCCCAAGGUCUUCUUAGAGAAGGGUCUAAAUGAAGUCAUUUUUAGAGUAUUUGUUUUUGGUUACACAGGUGCUUCCGCCCAUGUGGCCUCGGAGUGGGACCCUGCGGGUCAUCAAUCUGUACAUUGCCUGAGAGCAGCCGUGUAUGCUCUGGAAGGGACAAGACCAGGUACCUGUCGGGGGAUGCGGCCGUGGUACCAGGCAUGGCUGCGCAGGUCCUCGCUGCUCAGGAGCAGCUCCUCCUCCAGCUCCUUCUUCAGUUUCUCGGGGGUCCUGUCCAUGAUGUGCCUCUCCUUGGAGAACUGCAACACAGAGUCAACCAUGAGCUCACCCUGCCCAGGCCACACCAGGCCAUGCCAGCUGGAGGUGACCGCCUGCUUCACUAAUCCAACCAGUUAUGCUACAGCCUGCAUUCAGGGAGAUGUGGCCACAGGACUCAGUUCUGACCAAGGAGCUGAGAUGUGAUGGCUGGAGACUCAACACCAUUCUGGACGGUGAGUGGGGAGCCACACCAAGGAAUUGGCUGGGUGGAAGGUCUGAUUGAGGCUGGGUCCCUGAUGACUGUGGGGCCAACACACCAGCCCUGGACCGCCAGCCUCCAGGUCUUCUAGGUGAUCUACCUUAUGGAAGCCUGUGAUUUGUGGGUGUUCCCGUCACUGGCAGCUGAACUAAAUCCUAACCCAUAUUGUGACCUGACCCCCAUUGAGUCACCCUGACAGGCAGUCUGCAGGCUUAGCCUAAAUCCCUUGUGCUGCACCCUGGGCCCACUUCUUGGUCUGACCUCUGAAAAUGUGGAGAUCUGAAAAUAUACAGCAGGUCUUGCACAGUU
rnacentral:lncRNA from 1 species